rnacentral:rRNA from 1 species
AUGGGUACAGAAUUUUAUGAGACCAUGUUCAUCAUCAAAGGAGCCCGAGCUGAGACUGAGGAUGAUCUGAACCAAUUGUUCGAAGACUUUGGAAUCAAUGGAGGCCAACUUGCAGCUUCAUUCGGUCCUACUUUUAUGAUGGACACCAACUUGUCUCGCGACGCGGCACCAGUCACAUCACCGGAGAGGGAGGGGCCCUGCGCCGCCUCGACGGUAGACCUGAUAGCUCCACUCUGUCCUCCUGCUUAUAUGAUGGAGACGAACUUGACUCGCGACGCGGAGCCGGCUGACAUGCUGCCAGAGAGCGGUCGGAGGUGCAAAAGAGGUCCUCGCAAGAGGAGAAUACCAUUAUGCACGGACCAAGGCUGGUUUUUGGGUGACUACUUUGGGGGCACAUCCUGCCUCCGGGAUGCACCUUCUGCAAGUGAAGGCCGAAACCGUGGACUCAGAACAAACGGGCCCCAUUGGACUACGGAAGAGGUGACUACACUAGUUGAUGGUCUUGAAGAAUUUAGGGGUCGACGAUGGUCUGCGAUAAAGAAGAAAUAUUUUCCAACGUCAGAUCGAACUACGGAGAAUCUUAAGGAUAAGUGGAAAAAUCUGCGAAAAUCAUACACAGGAAAUGCAGAAAGAAGAUGCUAUCUAGUUCUUCCUGAUCAUUUGAUCGAACGAAUCAUGAGGCUAGCAGUGAUUGGUAACUGA